ACAUGCAAACUACAAAGUAGUGUUAAUGCACCAAAGCCCAUUAGAAAUCCAUAGGUAAGCACACUCAAUAUAGACUUGUAUUGGGAUGGGUGAUAUCCUAGGAAGUCCUAGUGUUUUACAUGCC
rnacentral:rRNA from 1 species